rnacentral:rRNA from 1 species
AUUGAACGCUGGCGGCAUGCUUUACACAUGCAAGUCGAACGGCAGCGCGGGCUUCGGCCUGGCGGCGAGUGGCGAACGGGUGAGUAAUGCAUCGGAACGUGCCCAGUAGUGGGGGAUAGCCCGGCGAAAGCCGGAUUAAUACCGCAUACGACCUGAUGGUGAAAGCGGGGGACCGAAAGGCCUCGCGCUAUUGUAGCGGCCGAUGUCGGAUUAGCUAGUUGGUGGGGUAAAGGCUUACCAAGGCGACGAUCCGUAGCUGGUCUGAGAGGACGACCCGCCAGCCUGGGACUGAGACACGGCCCAGACUCCUACGGGAGGCAGCAGUGGGGAAUUUUGGACAAUGGAGGAGACCCUGAUCCAGCCAUGCCGCCUGCGAGAAGAAGGCCUUCGGGUUGUAAACCGCUUUUGUUCGGGAAGAAGUCCUCUGGGCUAAUACCCCGGGGGGAUGACGGUACCGGAAGAAUAAGCACCGGCUAACUACGUG